rnacentral:rRNA from 1 species
UACGUAGGGGCGAGCGUUGUCCGGAAUUAUUGGGCGUAAAGCGCGUGUAGGCGGUCCGGUAAGUCCGCUGUGAAAGUCGGGGGCUCAACCCUCGAAUGCCGGUGGAUACUGUCGGGCUAGAGUGCGGAAGAGGCGAGUGGAAUUCCUGGUGUAGCGGUGAAAUGCGUAGAGUAUCAGGAGAACACCGUGGCGAAGGCGCUCUGG